UGAGGAAUAUUGGGCAAUGCCCGCAAGGGUGACCCAGCAACGCCGCGUGGAGGAUGAAUGUCGUAAGAUUGUAAACUCCUGUUAGAGGGGAAGAAUAGUACCGGUUGGACCGGUAUAUGACUGUACCCUCAGAGAAAGCCCCGGCUAACUACGUGCCAGCAGCCGCGGUAAUACGUAGGGGGCAAGCGUUGUCCGGAUUUACUGGGUGUAAAGGGCGCGCAGGCGGGAUAAAAAGUCAGUGGUGAAAUCCUACAGCUUAACUGUAGAACUGCCUUUGAUACUUUUAUUCUUGAGUUCGGGAGAGAGAGACGGAAUUCCAGGUGUAGUGGUGAAAUACGUAGAUAUCUGGAAGAACACCAGUUGCGAAGGCUGUCUCUUGGUCCGACACUGACGCUGAGGCGCGAAAGCGUGGGGAGCAAACA
rnacentral:rRNA from 1 species